CUUAACUGUGGAAUUGCCUUUGAUACUGCAUAUCUUGAGUCUGGUUGAGGUAGGCGGAAUGUAGUAUGUAGCGGUGAAAUGCAUAGAUAUACUACAGAACACCCAUUGCGAAGGCAGCUUACCAAACCAGCACUGACGCUCAGGCACGAAAGCGUGGGGAGCAAACAGGAUUAGAUACCCUGGUAGUCCACGCCGUAAACGUUGAUCACUCGUUGUUGGCAAUACACCGUCAGCGACUAAGCAAAAGCAUUAAGUGAUCCACCUGGGGAGUACGAUCGCAAGGUUGAAACUCAAAGGAAUUGACGGGGGCCCGCACAAGCGGAGGAGCAUGUGGUUUAAUUCGAUGAUACGCGAGGAACCUUACCCGGGCUUAAAUGUAGGGUGCAUUGGUGUGAAAACACCAUUUCCUUCGGGACUC
rnacentral:rRNA from 1 species